ACGGGGAAUUAGGGUUCGAUUCCGGAGAGGGAGCCUGAGAAACGGCUACCACAUCUAAGGAAGGCAGCAGGCGCGCAAAUUACCCAAUCCUAAUACAGGGAGGUAGUGACAAGAAAUAACAAUACAGAGCCUUACGGUUUUGUAAUUGGAAUGAGUUAAGUAUAAACCCCUUAACAAGUAUCAAUUGGAGGGCAAGUCUGGUGCCAGCAGCCGCGGUAAUUCCAGCUCCAAUAGCGUAUAUUAAAGUUGUUGCAGUUAAAAAGCUCGUAGUUAAUUUUCUGUUAAUUUUUAUAUACAAUACUACGGUAUUUAUAUAAUAUUAACAUAAUUCAUAUUACUUUUUAGUAUAUGAAACUUUACUUUGAGAAAAUUAGAGUGCUUAAAGCAGGCUAUUGCCUUGAAUACUCCAGCAUGGAAUAAUAUUAAGGAUUUUUAUUCUUCUUAUUGGUUCUAGAAUAAAAAUAAUGAUUAAUAGGGACAGUUGGGGGCAUUUGUAUUUAACAGUCAGAGGUGAAAUUCUUAGAUUUGUUAAAGACAAACUACUGCGAAAGCAUUUGCCAAGGAUGUUUUCAUUAAUCAAGAACGAAAGUUAGGGGAUCGAAGACGAUCAGAUACCGUCGUAGUCUU
rnacentral:rRNA from 1 species